UCGGGAAUUUUGGGCAAUGGGCGAAAGCCUGACCCAGCAACGCCGCGUGAAGGAUGAAGUAUUUCGGUAUGUAAACUUCGAAAGAAUAGGAAGAAUAAAUGACGGUACUAUUUAUAAGGUCCGGCUAACUACGUGCCAGCAGCCGCGGUAAUACGUAGGGACCAAGCGUUGUUCGGAUUUACUGGGCGUAAAGGGCGCGUAGGCGGCAAUUCAAGUCAUCUGUGAAAUCUCCGAGCUUAACUCGGAACGGUCAGAUGAUACUGCUGUGCUAGAGUACAGAAAGGGCAAUCGGAAUUCUUGGUGUAGCGGUGAAAUGCGUAGAUAUCAAGAGGAACACCUGAGGCGAAGGCGGGUUGCUAGGCUGAUACUGACGCUGAGGCGCGAAAGCUAGGGUAGCAAACGGGAUUAGAUACCCUAGUAGUCCCUGAGCGGGCUGGCAAGGCGCAU
rnacentral:rRNA from 1 species